rnacentral:rRNA from 1 species
UACGGAGGGUGCAAGCGUUAUCCGGAUUCACUGGGUUUAAAGGGUGCGUAGGUGGGUUGGUAAGUCAGUGGUGAAAUCCCCGGGCUUAACUUGGGAACUGCCAUUGAUACUAUUAAUCUUGAAUACCGUGGAGGUCGGCGGAAUAUGUCAUGUAGCGGUGAAAUGCUUAGAUAUGACAUAGAACACCAAUUGCGAAGGCAGCUGGCUACUCGGAUAUUGACACUGAGGCACGAAAGCGUGGGGAU